ACACAUUAAAAAAUGUGAAAUAUCCACCAUAUAUACUCUUGUGUAUAACUGGUAUCAGUUGAUCAGAUUCUGAACUACAGUUCAUAGAGUCUGAUAACUUGAAGAAAGCUGAUUGAGAAUGCAUGCCAUGUUGAUUAACUUCCGUGGGUGCUACUCAACAGCAAAAGGAACUAGCUGAAUGAGUUUGCAUGCCAUGUUGAUUAACUUCCGUGGGUGCUACUCAACAGCAAAAGGGACUAGCUGAAUGAGUGUGCAUGUGCCAUGUUGAUUAACUAGCUGAAUGAGUUUGCAUGCCAUGUUGAUUAACUUCCGUGGAUGCUACUCAACAGCAAAAGAAAUCUAUUCUAUUGAUCGGUCGACUUCCUGGCAUACAUACACCAUGUAUUGCCUAGUGUCCCAGAUAGAUAGAUGGUAAGCAAAACACAAUAUUGUGUUUGCUCAGUGUCAAAAUGAAAAUGACAAAAUAGCCAAUACUAAAUGUGAUCAUUAGCCAGCAAGAAUAUAAA
rnacentral:misc_RNA from 1 species